AGCCAGUUGCAGGCUCCCUUAUUAAUCUUGCUUUAAGGACAUCCUCAACAAGGGGUGCUACACGGGCACCAAGAAAUUAGUGGCCAAUGUGGAGGAGAGAGAAAUGUCACAACAAAGUAAUGGUUACUUGAAAAAGUAAUAGGUACUACACGGAUACCAAGACAGCAAAAAAGAUGACGUGUGGGUCCAUUAAGAAAAAGAAAUGAAUAAGAAAAAAUGAAACACAUUGAAAAAGAGAAAGAAAUUUUUUUAGCACUGCUACUAGCUGGCACCUUGUUGGAGAUGCCCUAAUGUCUCCAUACGAGGGUAGAGUGGU
rnacentral:lncRNA from 1 species